rnacentral:rRNA from 1 species
UACGAAGGGGGCUAGCGUUGCUCGGAAUCACUGGGCGUAAAGCGCACGUAGGCGGAUUGCUAAGUCAGGGGUGAAAUCCUGGAGCUCAACUCCAGAACUGCCUUUGAUACUGGUGAUCUUGAGUCCGGGAGAGGUGAGUGGAACUGCGAGUGUAGAGGUGAAAGUUCGUAGAUAUUCGCAAGAACACCAGUGGCGAAGGCGGCUGACUGGUCCGGGUUCUG